CCCCUUCACUCACAUCAGUCCUGAAAUCAUCUGCACGAGUAUGUGGAGCACUUACUUCACAAUGUUUUGCUUCAGAAACAGCUUCUGAAGCCACAUCUAAUUUGCUUCCCCCCUCAAAGGCUACUUCAUCCUUUGGCUCAAAUUUAACUUGCACGGAAUACCCAUCAGUGCCACUGGACGUGGAAACAGACAAGACUGGACCUUUGUCAACCUUCUCACUGGAGUUAUCAACAGUUCUCUCUGUCAUGGGNUUCUCUCUGUCAUGGGAGGGACAGCUUCAAUACAAGCCACAUCAGCAUUUUUAUUUACUGUGUGUACAUCCUCUGUGCUAGACAGGGAUCUAUCGUCAAUGGGAGAAUCCGCUACAGGCUUAGUUUCCAUCUCUACUGCACUAUGAUUUGCACCGGAGUCAAAAUGGUGUUUCCCAUUGGAAGCCAGUUCAGAAAACUCGUUCUUCAAUUGACAAACAACAGAUUUAGUCUCUCCUGUGGAGAUUGAGAUUUUAUGUUCAUCAGAAGAAGAUUCAAUUAGAUUUAACACAUAGGCAUCACCAACAUCGCCCUCUUCACAACACUGAACAUUAUCUUUGACAAGAGCAGCCACUUCUGGUUUAUUUUCCUCCUGUCUAUCAUCACUCAUAUCAGAGAUGAUGAGACAUUUCCUGUCAGAAGUCAACUCAGCCAAUUUGUCCCCUGAUUCUGAAUCAGCACAUGUAUUCCUCUCAAAUGAAACUAAACUUUUAAGUUCAUUAGAAGCAACUAAAGAACUGCUCAUCACAGAAGUAUCAUCUAAGGCAAACAUCGGGAAUCAGAAUUUGUAGGAGACACAUCACCCUCAAUACAAGACUGAGUAUUAUCUCCAGCAGGAGAAUUUGAACCCUCUAUAUUGUCCAUCUUGUCCAGAUCAUAAUGACUUGUGUCAGACAUGCAUUCACUUUUCUUCUCCAAAGCAGCUUCAUCUAACUUAUCUCCUGCACCAGAAUCCGCAUUUGCAGUCUCCUUAAGCGGUACAGAAUUUUUAGGUUCAAGAGAUGCAUCUAAAGAACUACUAAUCAUUGAAACAUCAUUUAUUGGAAUGCCCAUACAUUGUGAACCAGAAUUUGUGGCAGCCACUUCAUCAUUUGUCCCACUGGCACAUUCCAAACCACCAUUAUCACACUCAUUAAGAUCAUCAAGCAUGGCUGAAGAAUCAAUGUCAGAUUUAACUGCCACUUCAGGUGUGAUACUUUGACCAUCUUUAAAUUCCAUCCCUUUCGCACCUGAGCCUGUAGUCGUGUUUCCAUCAAUAUUUUCUUGAUCCAAUAGCUGCUUCUGCAACAUGUCUAUACCAGGGAACACCAACAUAUUCAUAGACUUCAAUUCUUGCUUGAGUGAUUCAUCAAGAGUGGUGAAACCAAAAACCCCUGUCCAUGUAUGAGUAAGUUCAGAAAUUGCAGGGAUAAUCAGUUUCUGAA
rnacentral:misc_RNA from 1 species